rnacentral:rRNA from 1 species
UACGAAGGGUGCAAGCGUUACUCGGAAUUACUGGGCGUAAAGCGUGCGUAGGUGGUGAGUUAAGUCUGUCGUGAAAGCCCCGGGCUCAACCUGGGAAUGGCGAUGGAUACUGGCUCGCUAGAGUGCGGUAGAGGAGAGUGGAAUUCCCGGUGUAGCAGUGAAAUGCGUAGAGAUCGGGAGGAACAUCAGUUGCGAAGGCGGCUCUCUGGACCAGCACUGACACCGAGGCACGAAAGCGUGGGGAGCAAACAGG